UACGUAGGGUCCGAGCGUUGUCCGGAAUUAUUGGGCGUAAAGGGCUCGUAGGCGGUCCGUCACGUCGGGAGUGAAAACUCAGGGCUCAACCCUGAGCGUGCUUCCGAUACGGGCGGACUAGAGGUAUGCAGGGGAGAACGGAAUUCCUGGUGUAGCGGUGGAAUGCGCAGAUAUCAGGAGGAACACCGGUGGCGAAGGCGGUUCUCUGGGCAUUACCUGACGCUGAGGAGCGAAAGCAUGGGGGAGCGAACAGG
rnacentral:rRNA from 1 species